GACGAACGCUGGCGGCGUGCUUAACACAUGCAAGUCGAACGGAAAGGCCCUGCUUGCAUGGUACUCGAGAGGCGAACGCGUGAGUAACACGUGGAUGAUAUGCCCUGCACAUCGGGGUAAGCCUGGGGAACUGGGUCUAAUACCGGGUAUGAGCCUAGAUUUGUGAUGUGGUUGGCAAGAUUUUUUGGUGUAGGAUGGUCUCACGGCCUAUCAGCUUGUUGGUGGGGUAAUGGCCUACCAAGGCGGCGACGGGUGACCGGCCUGAGGGGGUGGACGGCCCCAUUGGGACUGCGAGACGGACCAGUAGCCUACGGGAGGCAGCAGUGGGGAAUAUUGCACAAUGGGGGCGAGCCUGAUGCAGCGACGCCCGGUGGGUGAUGAUGGGCUUCGGGUUGUGAACGCCUUUCGGUAGGGAAGAAGCUUUCUGUGACGGUACCUAGAUAAGAAGCACCGGCUAACUACGUG
rnacentral:rRNA from 1 species